rnacentral:rRNA from 1 species
UACGUAGGGGGCGAGCGUUGUUCGGAAUUACUGGGCGUAAAGGGCUCGUAGGCGGCCAACUAAGUCGGACGUGAAAUCCCUCGGCUCAACCGGGGAACUGCGUCCGAUACUGGAUGGCUUGAGUUCGGGAGAGGGAUGCGGAAUUCCAGGUGUAGCGGUGAAAUGCGUAGAUAUCUGGAGGAACACCGGUGGCGAAGGCGGCAUCCUGGACCGACACUGACGCUGAGUGAGCGAAAGCCAGGGGAGCAAACGGG